AGUGCAAUGGCAUGAUCACCUCUCACUGCAGCCUGGACCUCCUAGGCUCUAGCCAUCCUCCCACCUCGGCCUCCCAAAGUCCUGGGAUUUCAGGCAUGAGCCACUUUGCCCAGCCACACUUCUAUAUCAUACAUGCCACUUCUUGCAGUCUCACACACUCACACACAUAUGCACACGCCACUCCAGCACACCCACACUCACAUGCACACACACACACACACACACACCCCUCUCCUGGGCCACCUUGAGCCUCCACUCACCUGGCUUGAAGUUUGCUUUCCUCAGUUGACCCUGGCCCUGCAAAUUGAGAAGCUGCACAGUCGAGGCUGGAGACAGGAGACUUAUUUUUCACCUGGCUCAGCCACCAGGUCACUUGCUGCCUCUGGGCUCUAUUCCCCUAACAAAAACAACAGUCCACGUUUAUUGAGGAUGCUGUGGAUACAGUCUUACCUAAGACUCACAGCGGGCUCCCGGGAAGUGGAGGCUCGGAUAGGGAAAACAGCCUGUCCAAGGCCACCCAUGCAGUAACCAGAAGACCGAGGGUUUGAACCCUGACUGUGGAACUGUAGCUACUUUGCUGUGCGACUUCCCAGCCCACUUCAUUCUCCCAGUGAGGGUAUGCUGCUAUAUUCCCUUUUCACACACGAGGAAGCUGAGGCUGGUAGAGUGCAAUGGCUCCUCACACUGGACUUCUCUGCCUCCCUUGCUCGGAGUGGUUUCCUCCUGCCCCAGCGCCCUGGCCCACUUUGUUCUCUCUGCCUCCCUGCUUUGCCAAGUUCAUUUCUCUUCUUCCUCAUGGUCUUACCCCAAAUACCAUUUCUUCAGGAAGGUUUCUCUGACCCCCAAACUAGACCAUACUCUCGCUUGAGGCUUUGCCUGUAGGUUUUCUGUUUGCUGGUAUCACACGUGACCCCCAGUGCCAUGGCCUGAAGCACCUUUUGAUUAGCUCACCGGCUCCUUGAGUCAGGCAUCUGGGUGGGCUCCACGGACCCUCUGUCCGGGUUCUCAGUGAGCCCAAGUCAAGGUGUCAGCAGACUGCGCCCCCUUCUGGAAGUUCUGGGGAGCACCUGUUUCCUGCUCAUUGGAGUGUCUGGCAGGAUUCAGGUCCUUGGUUCCUGCCUCUCCAAGGCAGCAGCCUCAGGGUGAGUCUUCCCUCUGCCGCCCCUCUUCCCGUUCCCUCUUGCACUCUGAAGGGCUCCUGUGAGGACACUGGGCCCACUCCAAUGGUCCAGGAUGAUCUCCCCAUUUCCAGGUCAGUUGUUUUGCAACCUCUGUUCCAUCUGCUGCCCGAAUUCCCCCUCACCGAGCAGCCUAGAGUAGUUACAGGUUCUGAGACUGGGGUGAGGGCAUUAUUCUGUCCACCACACUUCCCUUGCUCUUUCCUGCCACCUGUUCUUACUAAAUGUGUCAUUAUAUAUUCGUGUGCUGGAUUAUUUGUUUUCUCUCUGUCUCCCUCCCAUAAAUAUCAUCUGCAUGACUCGAGUGGGGUACAUAAUGCCCGUACACAGGAGGCACUGAUUACAAAUUCCCUGAACAGGUAACAGCACUGGGGCCUGAACCUGCACCUCCAUGUCAUUCUUCACCAACAAAGUGGUUUGGAUGCUUAGUUUCUCCCCUACCCCCCAUCAGGUCUGCUGUGUCCAGUUGCACAGGUUGUAAACUGCACAAGUCCAGGGCACUAUUUGCACCUUAGUCUCUGUGAUCCUCACAGUUGGGUGGGGUCCUUCAGGACCUGUAGGCUAAAGCUCUGCUCCUGAACCUGAGCCUGUGUUCUAAACCUGGAGCCUGUGUUUAUAACCUUGGCUGCCCAUAGAAUCAUCCAGAGGGCUUAAAAAAUCCUCCUGCCCAGGUCAUGCUCCAGACCAACUGUGCCAGAAUCUCUAGGGUGGCAUUUUACACCCCAGGUGACUCGGAAGUGCAGCUGAGGUGCAAGCCUCCCUCCAGCAGGGAUGCAGAGAUAAUUACAUAAUAAAGGAAGAGGGCCCCACUGCCCCGCACCCCCAUAUAUUUUGCAUAACUGAGGCCGGGCAGCUUCCUCUCCCACAGGCCCAUUUCUUCACUCUGUGUGGCUGCAGCUUGGCUCUCCAGCUUCCUGUGACCGAUAAGCCGUCCUGCAUCAUUUACGACGCUGGGCCGACAUCUGGCUGCCAGUGUGGUCACCAGCCCUGCUCCACUGGGGGGGCAGUCAUCUCUCCCGGUGACAAACUGCCUGCCCGGAGUGGCCUGAGAGGAGGGAGAGCAAAACCACAUCAUCGAACCGCUUGCUCGGGAGUCACUGGAGGGUUGCUGGCUCCUAAGUUUUACUUGGCUUUGGGAAAUUUGCUGGCACAUUAGUUGCGAGUAUUUUGCUCUGAGGGUGCUGAGCACGGCCUUCGAGGUCUCAGCAUCUUGGUUCUAGGCAGGUGAUGAGGUGCACUGGUGGCUGGGCCAUGGCCGGGUGAACUGAGGUGCUGGGAGCAGCAGGGACCAUCUGGGGCAAACUGCCGCCGACACACUGGGUUUCUAGGGUGGACUCGGCCUGAGAAAGGACGGAGGAGGUAACUUGGAGGGGCCUGGAAAGCGUGCAGGCCACAGAUGGCACUGUGUUUGCACAUUUCACGUUCUGUGAGAAAUACGCAUGGCCGUCUUGCUCUGUCGAGCCCCGGCCGGGAGGUGUGAGAUUGCAGCCCCUUGGUCACGUCCCCUCACGGGGAAGGUGCAGUCCCUGUGGGGACACAAGCCCAGGGAUGGGCCCAGCACCCACAGCUAGCCAUCCCUGGAGCCCCCCGAAGGAGUCCCCCAGGGCAGCCCUCCUCACCUCUGGACCUCUGCCUCCCCCGCUCCCAGAGGGCUGUGUAUCUUUGGCCUCCUGACUGGGGGCCUUGGCAUUCCGUUUCUUUCUCUUUCCUCCUCAGCAAAGCUGGCGAUGAGAUGGAGACAAUUCAGGUCUGACUGCCUGAGCAGCAAAGGAAGGCGGAUGGCAGCUCGUCCCAGGCAGACCCCGAAGGUGAAACAUCCACAUGGCACAGCAGUGCACUUGUGGCCACUGCACCCCGUAGUCAAAACUCCGGGAUGUCACCAUGCUGAGGACUCUGUCACAGCCCCUGCUCUGGCUUGGCCAAGCUCCAGAUGGGGACAAUCACAUGCCCCACCUUGUCCCAAGAAGGAGAAGGAGAUGAUGGAAGACCAGCCUUCUCCAUGGGGCCAUGCGGUGACACUUGCUCUUGCUUACUGAGCACUCACGGGGGACCAUCCUCAGUCUGCUGCGUAUGAAUGCCUUCAGUUCUCACAACAGCCUUGCAGCCAUGUCAAUCCUCCCUGUACUCAUCUUGUAGAUAAGAACACCAAGGCACAGAGAGGUCAGGUAACCAGCCUGGGGCCGCACAGCCCGUGGGGACAGUGCUGGUGUUGGGACGCAGGCCUGACCUCCCCAGGCGCCCUGAGUCCCGCUGCCCCUUAGAAGGAGGCCCACGAGCCUUGUCUUUGCGGGGCUGUGAGAGGGGACGCUGCUGUCCCCGCUGCAGAGGUCACAGGGGAGCCCUUCCACGGCUCAAGAGGAACCGGAACUUUGGGAACCACAUUCUUAUCUGCCCCUCACAAGAGCUGCAGCUGGCAACACUCAUGAGCCAUUAGGGUUGGCUGAGUCCACAGGAUGGGGCUUCAUCUGCCUACUCGUUCACUCAAUCAUUCAUUCACCGACUCUUUCAUUUGUUCAGCCAAUGUUUAUUGAAGCCUUCUGAGGCCAAGUUCUGGACCAGCUGCACAGCCACGCUGGAGAUAAACCCACACGCACGUGCUGUCCAUGCUGGGCCAACUGGAAGGAUGCCAGAGACAGAACUAAGGCUUCCUGGGUGCUUUGCAUUGCAGCCAGCCACGUUCCAGGGAGGGGGUAGCCCCUUGAACCGGAAGUCCUAGAUUGAAUCCUGGGAUUGUAACUCUGUAACUGCACCAGACCAAUCUGGUUCAACUUUUAUGUAACAAAGUUAUGAGUUGUUUUCAGUUGCCGUGAACCCCCAGGUUGAAGGUCGCAUAACCUGGGCGUGCCCAGAUAACCAAGCAUGCAGCCAGGGACGGAACCUAAGUGCUUGAGCCAGGAUGCGGGGACUGAAUUAAGAAGUGGACAUUGCGUGGCAGGAUCCAGGAUCCAAUCAGAUUGAGCCCUGGCGUCACCCCAGGGCAGGAUCCAAUCAGAUCACACCUCCUGGCAUCACCUCAUGGGAACAGCCAAUCAGAUCACACCUCAUUAUCCUACGCUUAUAAAACCUGACCUAGCCCUCAGUUGGGAGACAGAUUUGAGUGUUUCCUCCUGUCUCCUUGCCAUCGGACUCACAAUAAACCUUUCUCGCUGCAAAA